rnacentral:misc_RNA from 1 species
UUUCCGUUACCACAAAUAGAAAAUGGCGUUCCGACCGCAUGACAAGAGACACAGAGAGAUGCAAGAAGAUGUUAAGCCUCCAAACAGUCGAUUAUUUAUCUUAUGCGGCAAAGGAAUAAGAGAGGAUACAUUUAGGGAUGCCUUUGGAAAGUUUGGAACCGUGGAAGAUAUAUGGAUUGUCAAAGACCGCAGGACAAUGGAAGAGAAGGGGGUCGUUUACAUCAAAUUCUCCAAGGCAUCAGAGGCAGCUCUAGCUAUGGAGGAAAUGAAUAUGAAGACUUUGCCUGGUCACCCCAAACCACUCAAAGUACUGAUUGCCAGUAGUAAGAGAGAGGGUGCAGUCAGGGACCCCAGGGAGGGGGAGGAGGAGGGCCACCCCCAGACAACCAGAACGAGACUCUCAGACGGGCUGCGGCAGUGUUAGAGAAGGCGGGUCUGAAUCCCGACACAAUCCUCAACACAUCCUACAACUUUGAGCGCGUGCCAUACUGUUCCAUUCCCCUCCCCCCACCCAAACAGAUGAUGCCUGAGGACACAGAGGUGGCUCAGAGGCUGUUCAUCGUGUGCCAGCCCUCGGGGAUCCCGGAGAAAGUUCUGAGGGACGCCUUCUGUAGGAUGGGGAACCUUAUUGAUGUGUAUUUACUGCCAGCUCGUAACUAUGGUUAUGCCAAGUUUGCCACCAAGGAAUGUGCAAUGAAGGCAAUCCAGACAUUACACGGCCAAAACCUGGCAGGAAACAGGCUGAAAGUUCUGGAGGCCGAACCACCGCGGGGACCAGAGGAGGAGGAACCCUCUAAAAAACCAAGGAUGUAACAGAAGAUAUUCCAUUGACCUGCAGAAAAUUACGACUGACGACAUUGAACAGAAUAAAAGGAAUACCAAAGAACGACAACUCUGGAUGACUCGAGAUGACAAUGGGAAAUAACUCUUGACAAAACUGGACGACUGAGAGGAAAAGUUCUCUACUCUUGACAAAAAAAAUAUUUUGACUUACAAUUACUGUGAAAAAAAAACCAGGGUUACAAUACAUGACAGAGAAAGUUUUCAAAACAUAAUUGACUUGGAUCAACAUCACUCAUCUAAAUUAAUUAAAAGUAGUUAUAUUUCAUCAUGAUUUUACACUGUUUUCUGUAUUUCUGAGCUGCAUUUUACAAAAGAACUUAAAACAAAUUGGGAAAUCUUUAAUGUGCAUAUAUUUUAAAAUUCAUUUCUUCGGAACUAUUUUAAUAGCCAUGAAAAUAUUUCACUGACAUUUACUUCAAACUUUUUGUAGCUAAUGAUAAAUUUGGUCAUUGGUCUUAGGAGGCUGAGAAGUCUUUAAAGUUGUAGAGAUUAUUUAUUUAAAGGACACAUCGCAUGUUUCUAAAGUACGGGAAAUUUUACAUUUAAUCAUUAAGUAUUACUUAGUAUGAAAAAUGUCAAUUUUAGCUUUAAAAUUUGAAUAUUUUUCUCUAUCUUAAUACAGAGUUCUUCUUUUAAAGGAGAUAGAUACAGUCUAAAAAUGGCCGUGACCAUCCAGCCCUCUUAAUUGAGUUCUUUUAUCAAGUGCAGCCCUGAACGUUAUUGCUGUUGUUGCUUUAUAUGAUUGUAUCUGUUAGAUGAUCACGUUUCAUUUUAUGGUAAUAAAUUUACUGCAUAU